GAACCAUAUAGGAGAUGCAUAGUUUGACAGAUUAUUGUAGCUUCAAUCUUUAUUUUUGAAUUUUGACAUGCUUUAUUACCCACAAUAAGUGUAAUAAUUCAUAUUACAUGCAGACUGCAAUUAAAGGCAUCAAAAUGGUCAUGCUUCUUUAUAUUAAACUAUUAAUCCACCUAUCACAGCAAGAAAAAAGAAUUUUCUGUUCCACC
rnacentral:lncRNA from 1 species